GUCAGUGCAAAUUAUUCAUAUAUAUUUGGUUUUAAAUAGACCCCACGUAGCAGUGGGCAAGAGGCCUUCAGAAUCAAUCAAACUGUUGUGUGUCUUGACACUUCCUCAACUGACACCUCCCAUAGAACCAUCACCAUGGGGACGAUGUAAAUCCGUUGGGUUGCACCGUUUGGAGUGUUCAACCCAAUGAAUCUACAAUAUAUAUCUUGAUCGUCAUAUCUACCUAUAUAAAUGAGAAGGUUGGGGAAUAAGCUGCAUAGCUAAUUAAUUUCUACGGUAUAAAAUGCAGAUAGCUGCAACGCGUAGGGACGUUGUAGCAGUGGCAUUUUUCUUUCUCUGCUUCUUUUCUCUUCUCAUCAAAGCUCGGAGCAUCAGACAAGACUCCUGUGGUACUGUUGAUGGCUCUGAUAUGAGUCGUGGAAAUCAUUUUGUGGGAAGAGAUCAAGAGGGGUGCAUUAAUGAUCAUGAAGGAGAGUUGAUAGCAAUGGACUACACUCCAGCCCGGACGAAAACUCCAAUUCAUAACUUGUAGUAAUGGCGUGAACUGCAUUAUUAAUUACUUUGUAACUAGAGCUAGCUUAGCUAGGGAAAGACCUUUUAUUAGUACAUGCAUGGCAGAUAUAAACCAUUUUGAUGAUCUUA